rnacentral:lncRNA from 1 species
CCGAAGGUGAGCACACCAUCUUGUUCGCCUCGUCGAUAUCGUUCCAUUUUGCCAUUCAUGCGCGAGAUCGGACUUCGUUUCCGGCUUUCCCAUCUUCCUCUCUCUUUCUUCUUUCUUCUGUUCCUGUGCACAACCGUAACAGACCGAGCUUCUGGUUCUGUUGCUGCCGCGCGCCGCAUGCAGCUGCCCGCCGCCGCCUGCAGCUGCCCGCCGCCGCUACCGCGUGCUGCACGCCUAGCGCCGUCGCCCCC